UUGGUUUAUGAAAUGAACGCAUGUGGUUUCAGGAAUGGUUGGAUCAGAGUGUAAAAACUGAUGUUUUCCGUCUCAUCACUCUGCUUUCAUCUACGCUCCGUAUCAUUCGCAGGCAGGAUCUCCCCACAAGAUGGCAAAGAGGAUCACUGUCCUGCCGGCUGGACCUUCUCGGUGGAAGAAGAAGGUCUACCUCUUUCCUGGUAGUUAUGGCAAAAGUCUUGUGCAGAGGGAUGGCCUCAGUCUGGUGUGGGCCGAUGCACAUCGUUGGCCCGGUAUCUCUACGUACAGGUCUCUCCACACAGGCCCAGCAGACCGCCCCAGCCAGGAGGCUGCACCCCACUCCCCGUGUUGCUUUGAUGGCUCAGUGAGCCCUGGCCUGACCCCGAGGGGCCCAGACAUGUCCGUCAGGAUCCCUUUGUGUACCAGGAGCAGAGGAGCCACGUUCACGUACAGCGCUGACCCUCUGUGCAGUUUUGGAGGACGCAUCUGCAGUGUGGGCUUUUGUGAAGAUGUGGAUUAUUAAGAUGCAAAUUAAUAAUCAUAAUUCCUGG
rnacentral:lncRNA from 1 species